UCUGCAGUGGCUGCUGGAGACUCGGCGGUGCUGCACAGAUCAGACAGAAGAACAAAAAGGCGUGACUUCCACAGACUCUGAAGCUUUACGUGCGAUAUUCUUUUAACACAUCGUGUCCUGUUUCCACGAAGGUGAUGGUUUGCUGUGUACCGUUACCCAUCUAAAAAUAGGCAGAGCAAAGCAGCGGCAAUCAGAUAUUACCUGGCAGGAGAAAGCGUACCUUUCAGCCAUUUUGAGUUGCCACAGUU